rnacentral:rRNA from 1 species
AGGGAAUAUUGGUCAAUGGAUGCAAGUCUGAACCAGCCAUGCCGCGUGCAGGAAGAAGGCCUUCUGGGUUGUAAACUGCUUUUGUCAGGGGAUAAAAUUUCCUUGCGAGGAAAAUUGAAGGUACCUGGCGAAUAAGCCACGGCUAACUACGUGCCAGCAGCCGCGGUAAUACGUAGGUGGCAAGCGUUGUCCGGAUUUAUUGGGUUUAAAGGGUGCGUAGGCGGCCCUGUAAGUCAGUGCUGAAAUAUCCCGGCUUAACCGGGAGGGUGGCAUUGAUACUGCAGGGCUUGAGUGAAGUCGAGGUAGGCGGAAUUGACGGUGUAGCGGUGAAAUGCUUAGAUAUCGUCAAGAACACCGAUAGUGAAGACAGCUUACUAGACUUCAACUGACGCUGAGGCACGAAAGUGUGGGGAUCAAAC